rnacentral:piRNA from 1 species
UCUCGCCUUGUUUGCUGUAGACUUGAGUUC